GCCGGUGUGGCGGAACGGUAGACGCAGCGGAUUCAAAAUCCGCCGAUGGCAACAUCGUGAGAGUUCGAGUCUCUCCACCGGCACCA
rnacentral:tRNA from 2 species